UCCCUGGUAGCUUAGCUGGUAAAGAAUCUACCUGCAAUGCAGGAGAUCCGGGUUCGAUUCCUGAGUGGGGAA
rnacentral:tRNA from 1 species